GGCGCUCACAGGCUAUAAAAAGGUAAAUUAUGUGCUACCUGGGGUACGUCACCUGUUGAAUUGUUGCGUCGGUAACGCGUUUCCGUCACUUCCGCACUUCCGUCCCUCCUUGGCGCUAGCAAACAUCAAGGUUGUAAUUAGUUUGGAACGUCUGUUUCGAUUCAGUGAUUGCUGCCGUGCGGCUAUGUAAACAAGCCGUGCGUAGACUUUAAUGACGCUGUGAGACCCAAUGCAGUCGCUGUGAUUUUGUUAAUUCCUACCCUGGCCUUGGCUGUAAGAGUCCUGUCGUGUGUGUUAUUCAAAUCUCCUUGACGAUUGGUUUGGGGAAGCCAGUAGCUGCUUUUCAUUUGAGGCACUCGUGUCCUUUUU